rnacentral:rRNA from 1 species
AUUGAACGCUGGCGGCAUGCCUUACACAUGCGAGUCGAACGGCAGCAUGAUCUAGCUUGCUAGAUUGAUGGCGAGUGGCGAACGGGUGAGUAAUACAUCGGAACGUGCCCUGUAGUGGGGGAUAACUAGUCGAAAGAUUAGCUAAUACCGCAUACGACCUGAGGGUGAAAGUGGGGGACCGCAAGGCCUCAUGCUAUAGGAGCGGCCGAUGUCUGAUUAGCUAGUUGGUGAGGUAAAGGCUCACCAAGGCGACGAUCAGUAGCUGGUCUGAGAGGACGAUCAGCCACACUGGGACUGAGACACGGCCCAGACUCCUACGGGAGGCAGCAGUGGGGAAUUUUGGACAAUGGGCGAAAGCCUGAUCCAGCAAUGCCGCGUGUGUGAAGAAGGCCUUCGGGUUGUAAAGCACUUUUGUCCGGAAAGAAAUGGCUCUGGUUAAUACCUGGGGUCGAUGACGGUACCGGAAGAAUAAGGACCGGCUAACUACGUA